rnacentral:lncRNA from 10 species
UGAACACACACACCCACACCCACGCUAGCCCUACUUCAACAAAUAUUUAUGCUGCAACACCUGGUGGGGUGCCGGUCCUGUGUAUCUUGGUCUGUGCCAGAAGCGGUGAGGGGCACUUGGGCCAUCGCGCUGCCAGGGUCCGGCAGCAGCUCCUCCAGAGCAAGGACUGAGUUCCGUUCACCUCUCAAUGGCUCCACCUCCACAGUGCCCCGCCCAAGGCCUGGCACAAAGUACAAGCUGAGUGAGUGUUUGCUGUGUGGGAGAGUUUUGUCUCCAGCAGAACGGACCUGCAUUUGGGAAGUGGACAGGUGAGUGUCACCCGCAUCCUUGCCUUCUGGCUGGACAGGUGAUAUUGCUCCAUGAAGUAUCGGGCAAACAGCUGUGUUGCCAAAACCAAACCAAGAAAGGUACAGUAGAGGGACUAGUAACCCAGGAGCUAUAGGAUGUGGCUCUGCUCUCUGCUCUUCUACAGCUUCAAGAGGCUUUGGCAAAUUCCUGAGCUUCACUGGUCCUCAGUUUCCCGUUCUGUACAGUCAGCGAGUCUUACUAGAUACUGGAUCAUCUCCAGGGCUCUUUCUUGUACUAAUAGCCACUGGAGCAUAAGCUCCUUAAAAGAGGGCAGAAAUUUUGUUUUGUUUUGGUUUGGUUUUCCUCCUAAUGUUUCCCAGAUGCCUUGAAGAAAGUCCAUUGUAUAUGCCCAGUGAAUAGUUGCUGAAUGAAUGGAUGAAGACGCUGCGAUUCUAAGGCUGAAAGUGUAGUAGCGUGAUCGCAGCUCACCGCAAUCUCAAACUCCUGGGCCCAAGUGAUCUUCCUACCUCAGUAUCUGGGACUACAGGGGCGUGCCACCACACCUAGCUAAUUUGAAAAGGUAUGUUUGUAUUCAUAAACAGAUCCCCUUUGUUUGGUAAUCAUCUUUUCUAGUGAUUCUGGACAGCUUGGUGUCAGAUUCACUGUGCCUCUCAGAUCAGCCUGCCUCAAGAUGUUUCAAGUAAAAACCUUUCUUUUAAACAUGAUUUGUCUAGACUAUCAUCUCAACUUUCCAUUUACUUUUGGUUAUGUUUUUACCUGGUCUGCAUGAUUCACUGGUUAUCAGAGAAAAGUACAAUCAGAUAAAAUGAUAAGAGUAAGGAACUGUAAACAGAAACAGCAAAUGGCCCAAUUCAAAG